AGACAGCAGUAGCCGCGGGAAUACGUAGGUGGCAAGCGUUAUCCGGAAUUAUUGGGCGUAAAGCGCGCGUAGGCGGUUUUUUAAGUCUGAUGUGAAAGCCCACGGCUCAACCGUGGAGGGUCAUUGGAAACUGGAAAACUUGAGUGCAGAAGAGGAAAGUGGAAUUCCAUGUGUAGCGGUGAAAUGCGCAGAGAUAUGGAGGAACACCAGUGGCGAAGGCGACUUUCUGGUCUGUAACUGACGCUGAUGUGCGAAAGCGUGGGGAUCAAACAGGAUUAGAUACCCCUGUAGUCCCUGUCUCUUAUAC
rnacentral:rRNA from 1 species